rnacentral:tRNA from 1 species
AAGAUGUUAGUAAUAAUAAUUACAUUACCUUGUCAGGGUAAAAUUAUGAGUUAAAACCCCAUACACCUUA